GCCUGUGAAAAUUCCCAGUUUACCCCAUUGCAAGUCCGCCCCUGGUGUCAUGUGAUGAAAGGCGGAUCAUAUUUCAUAAGGGUGAGGCUGUUAAAGGAAAAUUUUAACAAGGGACUUAAUCUUCACACACGAAAGACAUAUUUAACUUACAGAAAAUGGAAGUUGUCAGAGACAUGUAUAAAGGACAGAAUGUUAGAGACAUGACUGAAAAGGCACAACAGAUGCACAGAUAUACUCAGCUGAGAAACCAUCCAGAUGUUCUCUUCAAAGUCUAUAGAAGAAAAUGUCUGCACGUUCUGCUCUUCAGACCUUUGGAUGGAGGCCAAUGGAUGAGAUUAAUUCAAGAUAGAUAUGAAAAUUUGUUCGCACAGUGGUCAAUCAGACAUGUUGACCAGCAAGUUCAUGAUGUGAUUAAUAUCUCCGGAAAGCUGGUCGAUCUGCAAAGAUUCUGUGAUGAGUUUCCACAAAACCUUGUCUCAGUCUUAAACACCACGAAAAACCUGGAGGAGGUUCAUGCAAAUGCCAAAGAAAUUGAAGUUCUGACAGCAAGAAUACAUGAACUCGAACUGGAAAACAAAAAACUUCGAAAACAGUUAUCCAAGUAAUUGGUUAAAGGGGCUGUCAAAGACAAAAGACGAUCUUGAUGGACUUUGGUGUGAGAUCUUGAAGAUUGGUCAUCUAGAAGCAUUAAGCCCUGCCUGACCAAUAAAUUGUUCUUGUCUUGUA